GGAGCUGUUGUUCAAUGGCAGAACAUCAAUCUACAAAACAGAUUGUUAUGGGUUCAAGUCAUGUCACCUCUG
rnacentral:tRNA from 1 species